GCCAGCAGCGAUAGCAUUUUGAAUACACCAAUUCCCAAUGAAUCACACAAGUUAAGUAACGUUGCACGUGGUUAGUAUCUGGAUGGGUGACCAUGUGGGCAGUUGUGCGGUCUGACU
rnacentral:rRNA from 1 species